GAUUAAGUUAUUAAGGGCGCACGGUGGAUGCCUUGGCACUAGAAGCCGAUGAAGGACGUUACUAACGACGAUAUGCUUUGGGGAGCUGUAAGUAAGCUUUGAUCCAGAGAUUUCCGAAUGGGGAAACCCAGCAUGAGUUAUGUCAUGUUAUCGAUAUGUGAAUACAUAGCAUAUCAGAAGGCACACCCGGAGAACUGAAACAUCUUAGUACCCGGAGGAAGAGAAAGAAAAUUCGAUUCCCUUAGUAGCGGCGAGCGAAACGGGAAGAGCCCAAACCAACAAGCUUGCUUGUUGGGGUUGUAGGACACUCUAUACGGAGUUACAAAGGACGACAUUAGACGAAUCAUCUGGAAAGAUGAAUCAAAGAAGGUAAUAAUCCUGUAGUCGAAAAUGUUGUCUCUCUUGAGUGGAUCCUGAGUACGACGGAGCACGUGAAAUUCCGUCGGAAUCUGGGAGGACCAUCUCCUAAGGCUAAAUACUCUCUAGUGACCGA
rnacentral:rRNA from 1 species